rnacentral:rRNA from 1 species
GCGGGAAGAGCUCAAAUUUGAAAUCUGGUAGCCUUCGGUUGCCCGAGUUGUAAUCUAGAGAAGUGUUUUCCGUGCCGGCCCAUGUACAAGUCCCUUGGAACAGGGCGUCAUAGAGGGUGAGAAUCCCGUCCUUGACAUGGACCCCCGGUGCUUUGUGAUACACUUUCAACGAGUCGAGUUGUUUGGGAAUGCAGCUCAAAAUGGGUGGUGAAUUCCAUCUAAAGCUAAAUAUUGGCGAGAGACCGAUAGCGAACAAGUACCGUGAGGGAAAGAUGAAAAGCACUUUGGAAAGAGAGUUAAACAGUACGUGAAAUUGUUGAAAGGGAAACGAUUGAAGUCAGUCAUGCUCUUAGGAUUCAGCCGUUCUGCGGUGUAUUUCCUUUGAGUGGGGUCAACAUCAGUUUUGAUCGAUGGAUAAAGGCACGAGGAAGGUAGCACUCUCGGGUGAACUUAUAGCCUCGCGUCAUAUACAUUGAUUGGGACUGAGGAACGCAGCAUGCCUUUAUGGCCGGGAUUCGUCCACGUACAUGCUUAGGAUGUUGACAUAAUGGCUUUAAACGACCCGUCUU